rnacentral:rRNA from 1 species
AAGGGCGACUGAAGUGUCAAAAGCUCAAGAUUUAAAUCAGACUGUCUGAGUUGUGGUCUAAACUCUUUUGCAUUAAAUCAAAGUUUCUUGGAAGAGGACAGCAAAGAAGGUGAAACUCCUGUUUGAUUGGGAGAGAGAAAGAGUCGAGUUGUUUGGGAUUUCAGCUCUAAGAUGGUGGUAAAUUUUAUCGAAAGCUAAAUAUUCUAUGAAAAACCGAUAGUGUACAAGUACCGUGAGGGAAAGAUGCAAAGAACUUUGAAAAGAGAGUUAAAGAGUACCUGAAAUUGUUGAAAAUGAAGCACAUGAAACUAGUGAUGCUGAAACAUUUUUCUUUGUUUGCUUGCAUUCAAGGCAUUGUGUCCAGUGAUGUAGAUCUUAGC